rnacentral:lncRNA from 1 species
ACCUUUGAGUUGUUCCAGCAGUAGAUCCAGGUACUAACCACCAAAGUGCAUAGCCUGCAGUAAUCGAUUCAUCAGCCUAGCCUGGCACCAAGUGAUCACCAGACCUCAGUUCACCCUGAUCUUCCUCCUUCCUCGAGGAGUUUGAGAUGGGGCAACUAGUCUUGCCCCACUAGCCCAGAAGAAGUUCUCCAGAUCUUUCGAUCCACUCAUCAGAUCCCCAAGUGAGCUUCCCUUCAUGAUUGCCCUCGACCAUCUAGUUCAAGAGGGAUGACUCAUGUCCCUCAGCCUCACCUCAGGGAUAGUGAGUGAGGUAAGGAGCAUGAACCCAUUCCUCCUUCUCUUUCACUCUCUUGUUCCUCAUAGGACUCUUCUACAAGCGGAUCUGCAAGUUGUUAGCCUAGAAGGAGGUCUGGAUGG